ensembl:snRNA U6 U6 spliceosomal RNA
GUGCCUGCUUCAGCAGCAUAUACACUAAAAGUUGGAACAAUACACAGAAGAUUAACACGACCCCCUGCACAGAGAUUACAUGCAAAUUCAUGAAGCAUUCCAUAUUUUU